rnacentral:rRNA from 1 species
CCUACGGUGGCAGCAGUGGGGAAUAUUGCACAAUGGGGGAAACCCUGAUGCAGCAACGCCGCGUGAGUGAGGAAGUAUUUCGUGAUGUGAAGCUCUAUCAGCAGGGAAUAGAAAAGUAGGUACCUGUCGAAUAAGCCACGGCUAACUACAUGCCAGCAGCCGCGGUAAUCCGUAGGUGGCAAGCGUUAUCCGGAUUUACUGGGUGUAAAGGGCGUGUAGCCAGGUUGACAAGUCAGAUGUGAAAUCCUGCGGCUUAACCGCAGAACUGCAUUUGAAACUGUUGAGCUUGAGUACUGGUGAGGCAGACGGAAUGCCUGGUGUAGCGGUGAAAUGCGUAGAUAUUAGGCAGAACACCAGUUGCGAAGGCGGUCUGCUAGACAACAACUGACGGUGAGGCGCGAAAGCGUGGGGAGCAAACAGGAUUAGAUACCCGUGUAGUC